rnacentral:rRNA from 1 species
GAGAGAUGAGGCUGUGCUCGAAAGAGAACCUGCACACAGGUGCUGCAUGGCUGUCGUCAGCUCGUGUCGUGAGAUGUUGGGUUAAGUCCCGCAACGAGCGCAACCCUUGUCAUUAGUUGCUACGAAAGGGCACUCUAAUGAGACUGCCGGUGACAAACCGGAGGAAGGUGGGGAUGACGUCAAGUCCUCAUGGCCCUUAUAGGUGGGGCCUACACACGUCAUACAAUGGCCGGUACAAAGGGCUGCAAACCCGCGAGGGGGAGCCAAUCCCUCAAAGCCGGUCGUAGUCCGGAUCGCAGUCUGCAACUCGCUGCGUGAAGUCGGAAUCG